rnacentral:rRNA from 1 species
UACGUAGGAUGCAAGCGUUGUCCGGAAUUACUGGGCGUAAAGGGCGAGCAGGUGGCACUACAAGUCUGAUGUAAAAUCUCCCGGCUUAAGCUGGGAGGGGCCUUGGAAACUGUAGAGCUGGAGUGCAGGAGAGGCUAACGGAAUUCCCGGUGUAGUGGUGAAAUGCGUAGAUAUCGGGAGGAACACCAGUGGCGAAGGCGGCUUUCUGGCCUGCUCUUGACGCUGAGGCGGCGAAAGCUAGGGUAGCAAACGGG